GCGGGCUUUCCUCUGUCUUUCCGGCUGCGACUCCGAUGCUGAGCGAGCUGUUAAGGAAAAGGGAGACGGAGAUUCAGUGGAAAAAGAGCACAAAAAGCGAUAUAUAAGAGUCAGAGGUCGGAGGCGGCGCCAUUUUGUGUUGCGCUGUCCUCUCGUGAGAUCGGUCAGGUUUUUUUUCUUGCUUUGUUUUAUUUGUGAUGUGAUGGCGAGCCAAUCCCACAGACGAACCAGACAACUUCUUCCCGUGCUGCCCUGCACAGUGCGGUAGGCCAGCUGCGACAAGGAUCUCUGCCACACCAUUCUGCACCUGCUGCCCUCUUUCACACACACACACAUACACUGACGUUCCCCUGGACUUUUAGACGCUUUAAGGACUUCUACGGACUCAGCACACUCCCACAGGCGGGAAGCGGACCUGGUAUGGACAGAUUGGAAACACCCCUCCAAAAUAAGGUUCUGUUGCAUACAGCUGGUGAGAUCGAAGCAGUGUGAUAUUUGUUAUUGGAAUGGUUUUGUUUUGAACUAAAGCCUAAGUUGUGAAUUUAGAAGGGUGCACCCGGGAAAAUUUUGAAAGUGACUGUGAUUGUAAAAUGAUAUUACUGGUACCGAAGAGAAACUUUUAUUUAAAAUUUAUUUUAUUUGUUACAAUAUAUUUUCUUUAAAAUACACAAGCCGGCAACUUUUCAAAACCAUAACCUGUGUUCGAGUCUCAUUCUUUUCACACUUCCUUCCUGUAGCCGAACCUAAUGGCCCAAAUCAAUUAAGCUUCCUUACCUUAAGUCUUGGAAGGAAAAUCCUGAGGUGAGAUUUCUAUAAGUAACUUAGGUGGUUACAACAGUCUGAAGAGAUGGCGACUCGAGACCUCUGGUAAACUGACUCCUGCCGCACUUUAGGACUGGACUGUAACUAUGAUGUAACUGAACUGACACUAAUUCAGAUUUUCACCCUCAGAACAUUUUGCUUUGGAUGUGAGUCGAACCUCUGAUGGAGACAGCAGUGAUGUGUCACUCCAACCCAGAGCCGGCCCGAGCCUUGAAGGGGCCCUAAGCGAAAUUUGAUUUGGGGGCCCCCCUCAUACCACUUCAUUGUGUCCUGAGCCUAACAGUUAUUAAUACGGAAAGGUUGAAACUGAAUAUUCAUUUUUUGGGAUGCAUCGCUGUUUCAGUCUCAGCCCAUUGAAAAACAAUGUAUUUCAAUAUGAUACACAUUGUAAAACUAUGUCCAUGACAUAAUUGAUUGCAUUCAAUAUCCGUUCUAGAGGGCAUAGACUUUUUAGGAAGUAUGUAAUUUAGGGUGUUUGACCUGCUUUUGGGCAUGUUGGACAUGCUCUUUUCAUCCAAAAGAUGUAUAUUUGUCAUUAACUGUGCAAAUGCACCCAAUUACAGACUAGUAAAUAUGCCAUUUGUAAUAUAUAAAUAAUAACUAUGCAGCAUACAGAAUUGCGGAGCAUCAAUAGAAUAAUAUCAAACACAAGUGGUCAACGAUUGGGCCCAGUACUGUAAAUGUUAUUACGCUACUAUACCACA